GUCCAAGCCGUAAAUUAUGCUUGCUAGAUGUCUUAACCCUCGAGGUUGGGGUGUCGUAACCUAACGGAUUAAGCAAGCCGCCUGGGUAGUAUACUCGCAAGAGUGAAACUCAAAGGGAUAGGCGGGGGAACACACAAGCAGUGGAUUAUCUAGAUUAAUUGGAUACAAAGCCAAGAAUCUUACCUAGAAUUGACAUGUAUUGUGUCGUCGAUGAAAGUCGGCUAGUAUGAGCAAUCAUACACUUUACACAGGUGGUGCAUGGUCGUCGU
rnacentral:rRNA from 1 species